rnacentral:other from 1 species
GAUUCCCUGCCCGGCACGUGAUGUGUCGUACAAGUGAGCCAACACUUCAACAUGGGGACCCCGACGUCCGCUCCCGGAAGCCACGCCCUCCGGGGAAGGCCGAAGGAAGCGGCAGGAGUCCCACCUGAAGCAACUCGGUUCAGUUGCUUCCGACUCACACGGCCGGGCGGGGUGUCC